AGUCGAGCGAGAAAGGGGGGGCAACCCCCUGAGUAGAGCGGCGCACGGGUGAGUAACGCGUGGGUAACCUACCCCCAGGCGGGGGAUAACUACUCGAAAGGGUGGCUAAUACCGCAUGAGACCACGGGAUCUUCGGAUCCUGAGGCUAAAGAUCGCACCGGCUUGCCGGUGCUGUCACCAGGGGAUGGGCCCGCGUCCGAUUAGCUAGUUGGCGAGGUAAUGGCUCACCAAGGCUCCGAUCGGUAGCUGGUCUGAGAGGAUGAUCAGCCACACUGGAACUGAAACACGGUCCAGACUCCUACGGGAGGCAGCAGUGAGGAAUAUUGCGCAAUGGGGGAAACCCUGACGCAGCAACGCCGCGUGGGUGAAGAAGGCCUUCGGGUCGUAAAGCCCUUUCGGACGGGACGAACGCUCCGCGGUGACAAGCCGCGGAGUCUGACGGUACCGUAGGAAGAAGCACCGGCUAACUCCGUGCCAGCAGCCGCGGUAAUACGGAGGGUGCGAGCGUUGUUCGGAAUUACUGGGCGUAAAGCGCGUGUAGGCGGCCUUGCAAGUCAGGCGUGAAAGCCCUCGGCUUAACCGGGGAAGUGCGUCUGAAACUGCUUGGCUUGAGUACGGGAGAGGGAGGCGGAAUUCCCAGUGUAGAGGUGAAAUUCGUAGAUAUUGGGAGGAACACCGGUGGCGA
rnacentral:rRNA from 1 species